rnacentral:rRNA from 1 species
UACGAGAGGCCCAAACGUUAUUCGGAAUUACUGGGCUUAAAGAGUUCGUAGGCGGUUCAGUAAGUCGGGUGUGAAAUCUCCGUGCUCAACACGGAGCGGCCACCUGAUACUGCUGUGACUCGAGUCCGGUAGGGGAGUGUGGAAUUCCCGGUGUAGCGGUGAAAUGCGCAGAUAUCGGGAGGAACACCAGUAGCGAAGGCGGCACUCUGGGCCGUGACUGACGCUGAGGAGCGAAAGCGUGGGUAGCAAACAGG